AUAGUUGUCCCUGAGCCAACUGGAAUUCUUCCCUUGAACGUUGUUGUGUGUAAGCAGGAGAAAUCAGCAGUCUGUCAUCAGUGGCAGAAGCUUUAAGACCUAAAAUCUGGAAGUUCUUGAAGACCAUAUUUCCUGCCAUGACAAGAAAACCAGGAUGCAGACAAUGAAAAUUAACAGAAUCGACAAAGAGAAACAGAAAGACAGAUUCCAAUGCCAUAUUUUUGACUGGGACAAGUAGGGGUAGAACUGGUUUUUCAGCCAGGUCUUUACUCCUUAUCAGUUGGAGCAGGCAGGAUGAGGAAGACAGCCCUAGAGUCCUCAUCUUAUCCACUGUCUUCUGACCUCACUGCAAAGCUUGCUACCACUCCACAUGUCAUCUUAUUUCUGCCAGGCCUGGGCCUUAUUUUCUACCCUUCUUUUCCACUCUCUGAGGAAAUCCCAGAAGCCAUUCAGCAGUGCAGCACAUUGGUUUCUACACAAAAAUGGAAGCUGGAAGCCAGUUGUCCUUCCUGGGAUCACAGCUACACCACUUUUCUCAGCAUAUUCUGCAGGAAAACGAAGAAAAGGAAAGAAAAGGACUGUAGUUCAAAAAAUGCCAAACAUGAGAGCAUGUGAUGAAAUACCCAUCUGCACUGUGGAAGUCUGACAUUUUGAUGCAUUGAGACCCAGGGGCUGUAGGUGCCUGAUCAAUACAUAUUCUUCGAAUAUGAGCUGAAUGAGUAAACGAAUGAAAUUGUAGAAGUCCUGGGUUCUGAACCUGAGCUUGUCUAAUACGCUAUGUUGUUGUCAGGAACAUCCCCUCUGGGAUUCUCUCUUCAUCUGAGAAAUGGAUGUAUUUCCUUUUUUUUACUUAAAUAAAUAAAAUAAUCAAAUGAGAUUGUGGAUGCAAGAAUCCAGCUACUGCAGUUGGUGCUUUACAAGGGAAAGGGAUGACCAUCAGUACUGCUGCGUACGUAUAUUCUUGGAGGGGUCCAGUUAAACAGUCUGACUAGCUAUGACAUUCAAGACACCACCCAAACAACAGAGGGGUUUCUCCAUCAUGUCUUCUGACACUGGAUCUCAAAGCAGAUGUGAACAGUUUGGAUUGCUUUUUCUGUAUAGGCAAGAUAAAGCAAAGUGUGAGAGACCAUCAAUGCCUAAAGACCUAUCAUUCUAGGAAGGCUCCCUGAAGUCCAUUAGGAGCCUGAGUUUUAUUAUUCUGUUAAUUAUCAGCUCCCAUGAUUUUAGCAGUUCUCUGACCCAAGGAAGGUUGGAAAUACAUCAGAAUAAGAUCUUUGUAGAACACCUAUCCACUCAUUUAUUAACUAAUUCACUCAUUCAGUGACAUUUUUGAGCUGCUGCUCUGUUUUGAUGAUAUGCUUCAUGAUAGAUUUUUAAACACCAGUCUCAAUAAACUUACAGUUGUGUUGGAAUAGAUAUUUAUUUUAAGUUACAUCUUCAUGGAACUCAUAAUAAAUUGGUAAUAUUUACAAUGUUAAGAAGGAUUCUGAGGUCACAGAAAGAAUGGCAAAAAUGUUAUAAUCUACUCACAGUAUUUCCAGUAGGUAUAGUAGGGGAAAGCAGCCAUAUAUUUGCUACACAUAAAUGAAUGUAAAAAGAAGGCAGUGUUCUUCAAUCUUAGGACUUAAUGUUACUGUAUUGAUAUAAUACUAGCUGCUCUCAAAAUAAUCCCCAAAAUGUAAUGGCAUAAACAUAAUAGAAGUCUACUUUCCACUCACAUAAAGUCUGAACCGGAUCUUCCUAACUGGCCAUUAGCUUGUCUCCAGGUGGUGAUUCGGGGAUUCAGGUUUCUUUUAUUUUGUGGCUCUGUGAUCUUUAACAUGCAAUUUCCAGGUGAUUGUGUUCUUCUGUAGGAAGGCAGCAGAAGGAAAAAGGAGGGGGAUUGCAGGCAACCCUGCUUCUCAAGUUCUUUGGUGAGAAAGAGUCACCCAGUACUUCUGCUCAUAUUCCAUUAGUGACGUUCCACAGCUCCACCUGGGUGCAGGGAGACAGGGAAACACAGCCCUGGCUGGGAAGCAGUUUCCUAGCAACCAGACACUACCUUUGGUGAAUAGGAAGCCAUCUCUUCACAGUAUCCUGAUUUCUCCCAAUCAUGCUUGCUUGAGCUCAUUUUUGUCUUUUCUUCAAUGAACUUGAACCUGACACCCUUUAUCCAGUCUAAAUCCCUGUAGAGAGAAACUGUCCUCAUUCAGCUUCUAAAACAGUCAUUUCUAAUUCCAUUCUGACUUGCUAUGGAACAAAACUCAGAGACAGAUCACACCUCUUCAUGUUCAGGGCUCUGCCAGGUGUUGUCAGGCGGGGCUGUUUAAGGAAAAAUACCCAGCGGAAUAGACAACCAUGAAGCUCCCUGUGACUUGGCCCCAGGGAGAAUGCAAGGACCUGAGCCUCUCUUCCUUGAGCCCUUUACUGCAACUGGACCUUUACAACUCAAUGUCUGAAGCUGUGGGACUGCUUAAAUAAACAUGCUAUUCUAACAGUGCCUAGCAGCCCAAUGCACAAUUCAUUUUACUGUGCCUUGCAAGCCAUAUAGAGCCUUUAUUGCAGAGGGCAGCAUCAGAUCUUUGUAUAAAUACUAGCAGAUAAUUUUAUAUAAUUUUGUUGACUGGUUAAGUGGUGUUUUUUCCUUUCCUUUUAAUUUAACCCCUGUGAUUGCUAAUUAUGAGGCUCCUCCUGAUUUCUCCAUCACUCUGUCCCAUGAAGCAUAAAGGAGAAUGACUGAGUGACCGAGUCAUCCCUACUGAUUCCUCUGGAGUUUCUCUCUCUAGCAGUUAACUCUAGUGUUUUUCUGGAGCAGGAAAAAGAAUGAAACUAGCGUCUGGACUCUGCUGCGGAAUUGCUACCCAGUCAAAGCCAGGAAUGCGUGUCUUCCUCCACUCUCUUUCACAGACUCUCCACUCCAGGGGAGCAGGCAGAAUGACUCAGUGGAAAGAGAAAGCCAGGACUGGGUUUAUAUCCAAGCUCCCUCUUUACUUGCUGUGUGACCUUGGCCAUUUGGCAACCUCUCUGAAUCUCAUUUACUCACUUAUAAAAUAGGAGUACUAAUUCCCACUUUUGGAGUUGUUGUAAGGUUGACUUGAGCUAAACCAGCACAGUACCUGUGGAACAUCAUGGGCUCAGGUGUCCAUUAGGGCACAGUGAUGAUAUUUCUUGUAACAAGAAACUCCUUAGCUGUGUGCCUUAAGACCAUCUAACUUAUUCCUCGCUUACUCAAAGUCCAGUGAGGGUGUUUCUGGUAGGGGAGCUCUUCAUAGUGACUAUCUUUCAGGGGGUGACUUGAGAAGUCAGCUUCUAUACUGUGUGUCUCCUCCUCC